CUACGUGCCAGCAGCCGCGGUAAUACGUAGGUCCCGAGCGUUGUCCGGAUUUAUUGGGCGUAAAGCGAGCGCAGGCGGUUAGAUAAGUCUGAAGUUAAAGGCUGUGGCUUAACCAUAGUACGCUUUGGAAACUGUUUAACUUGAGUGCAAGAGGGGAGAGUGGAAUUCCAUGUGUAGCGGUGAAAUGCGUAGAUAUAUGGAGGAACACCGGUGGCGAAAGCGGCUCUCUGGCUUGUAACUGACGCUGAGGCUCGAAAGCGUGGGGAGCAAACAGGAUUAGAUACCCUGGUAGUCCACGCCGUAAACGAUGAGUGCUAGGUGUUAGACCCUUUCCGGGGUUUAGUGCCGCAGCUAACGCAUUAAGCACUCCGCCUGGGGAGUACGACCGCAAGGUUGAAACUCAAAGGAAUUGACGGGGGCCCGCMCAARCGGUGGAGCAUGUGGUUUAAUUYGAAGCAACGCGAAGAACCUUACCAGGUCUUGAC
rnacentral:rRNA from 1 species